rnacentral:tRNA from 4 species
AAGGGCUUAGCUUAAUUAAAGUGACUGAUUUGCGUUCGGUUGAUGCAAAGUGGGGCUUUGCAGUCCUUG